AGUUACUUUACGUAACUUAAACAUUUAAAUAUUUGUCUGAAUCUGUUUGCAUGCAAACAGAUUCAGGUUAUGAGAGCUGGUGGGGGUGUAGUAUGAAGGUAGAGAGGUGGAGAGUCAACACGAGAAGAGAAUUGGCAUUCAAGGUCAUUUCCUCGUCGGACUAAUGAGACAAAGCUGCAGAUUUCAGGCCUGAAUCGAGCGAAGAAAUGACAGAAAGGAGAAUGAGGAAGACAUUUGUUUGUGAUGAAUCGAUGAUCAUCACCAUCCCCAUCGCCAGCCUGAGGAAAAUUCAGGAGGGUCAACUGAUGCCAGAGAACUUCCACUGCGUGUUCAGGGAUAACUUCAAGGUGUUUGCUGUUAGAGGAAAGCCGAGGCCGCUGGGGGCAGCACAAGCCAUUGCUGGUGUAUUUCUCCUCACUCUUGGAUUGAUUUCCCAAGAUUUGUACUUACUUGCCUUCAGUGUUUCAAGUCUUCUU